CUGCCACCUAAGGCCCCACCCACUUCCUCUUUGCUUCAAGAUGCCACCUCUUCGCUUCCCGCUCCAGGAGGCGGGGUUGGAAGAGCAUACUUUGGACGUGGCUUAGAGUUGCAGUUACUUUACGUGGACAAACACUGAUUCAGAUCUGACCCCUGUGACAUCUGAAUUAGACCUGAUACUUUACAAGCCUUCCAGGUGGAAUUUCACCUUCGGAGCUGGAGUUCCAGAGUCGACCUCAGUAAGAUGCUAUCCAACAGUAAAUACCGAAGCAGAAGUGAUGGAAAAUCUAACCCUUUGGGGUCAUGGGAAAACUUGCCACCCAACGUGGCCGUUAGGGUUACUUGAUUUCAUAUGUAACAUCUGUACGGGGGAUAUGUCAUGAACCAUCAGGAAGGACUCAGCUCAUCUUGCACGGUGCCAGAAAGUUGUCACCAAUACCACGCCAACUUGCUACCAGAACCAUGCCAAGUUGUUGCCAAUACCGUGUCAGGAGGUGAGCAUGCGAAUGAUUAUUUAUGGGGCUGUUUCCUUUAGAUCUGUGCUCUGAUGGUGUCACUGUGUUACUGAAAUGACUUUGUCCCUGCCUGGCCACUUCUUAGCCUUCCACCCCAGCAGCCACAGUCACCGUGGUGAUGCUUCUGAGACUGUCCACGGCCUUGACCAUGGUUCAAAUGUAUUGUGUGAUGCCUGGAAGACGCUGCCGCCGAGCCUUGUAAAGAAUGAAGAUGUUACCAGGCAACUCUAAAUCCCUGACUAAUGUACCUCCCAGCACUGGUGCAAUUGUGGUUCUUUUAUUUAGUUAUUUAUUUGUUUGAUUUUUCGAGACACGGUUUCUCUAUGUAUCUUUGGCUGCCCUGAACUCACUCAGUAGGCAAGGCUGGCCUUGAACUCAUAGAGAUCCACCUGUCUCUGCCUCUGCCUCCCAAGUGCUGGGAUUAAAGGCGUUCACCACCUCACCUGAUGGUUUUGUCUUUUAAGCGCUGUACUUCUAAGCUCAGGCACCAGGAAACAUUCCAGAGGCAUGAACCCAUCGUCAUCUGGCCAUUAAUAAAGGACUCAAACUUU